rnacentral:rRNA from 1 species
GCGUGGGCGAUGAAGGCCUUCGGGUUGUAAAGCCCUUUUGCACGCGACGAUGAUGACGGUAGCGUGAGAAGAAGCCCCGGCUAACUUCGUGCCAGCAGCCGCGGUAAUACGAAGGGGGCGAGCGUUGUUCGGAAUUACUGGGCGUAAAGGGCGCGCAGGCGGCCUUAGAAGUCAGAUGUGAAAGCCCCGGGCUCAACCUGGGAAUGGCAUUUGAUACUCUGAGGCUGGAGUACGGGAGAGGAGAGUGGAAUUCCCAGUGUAGAGGUGAAAUUCGU